rnacentral:rRNA from 1 species
UAAUACAUGCAAGUCGAGCGGACUUGCUGGAGCUUGCUCCAGCAGGUUAGCGGCGGACGGGUGAGUAACACGUGGGCAACCUGCCUGUAAGACUGGGAUAACUCCGGGAAACCGGAGCUAAUACCGGAUAGUAUCUUGAACCGCAUGGUUCAAGUUGGAAAGACGGUUUCGGCUGUCACUUACAGAUGGGCCCGCGGCGCAUUAGCUAGUUGGUGAGGUAAUGGCUCACCAAGGCAACGAUGCGUAGCCGACCUGAGAGGGUGAUCGGCCACACUGGGACUGAGACACGGCCCAGACUCCUACGGGAGGCAGCAGUAGGGAAUCUUCCGCAAUGGACGAAAGUCUGACGGAGCAACGCCGCGUGAGUGAUGAAGGUUUUCGGAUCGUAAAACUCUGUUGUUAGGGAAGAACAAGUGCGAGAGUAACUGCUCGCACCUUGACGGUACCUAACCAGAAAGCCACGGCUAACUACGUGCCAGCAGCCGCGGUAAUACGUAGGUGGCAAGCGUUGUCCGGAAUUAUUGGGCGUAAAGCGCGCGCAGGCGGUUUCUUAAGUCUGAUGUGAAAGCCCCCGGCUCAACCGGGGAGGGUCAUUGGAAACUGGGAAACUUGAGUGCAGAAGAGGAGAGUGGAAUUCCACGUGUAGCGGUGAA